UACGGGGGGAGCAAGCGUUGUUCGGAUUUACUGGGCGUAAAGGGCGCGUAGGCGGCGCGACAAGUCACUUGUGAAAUCUCCGGGCUUAACCCGGAGCGGCCAAGUGAUACUGUAGUGCUAGAGUGCGGAAGGGGCUACUGGAAUUCUCGGUGUAGCGGUGAAAUGCGCAGAUAUCGGGAGGAACACCAAUUGCGAAGGCAGCUCGCUGGGACGUUACUGACGCUGAGACGCGAAAGCGUGGGGAGCGAACCGG
rnacentral:rRNA from 1 species